rnacentral:pre_miRNA from 1 species
UUGAAAUUGGGAAGGAGAAUGAGGAGAAAAAGAAAAAAGAUUUAAUCAUCUUUUUCUCCUCAUUCUCCUUCCCAAUUUCAA